CUUUGCCCCAUUGCGCGCGUAGAAAACUCAUUCCGCUCCAACAGAUUAAUGUUGGAAGGCCGUUUGUAACGAGGCCCAUUGGCCCACGUAAUUAAAAUUACAACUGAUUUUGUCUUUUUUUUUUUUUUUUUUGCUGGGAAGGCUCUUCGGCAACGGCGUAGAAGACGAUGCGACUGUUGUCGCCGCCGGCGGUAAAUCGAGGCUGCUUGAAUUGAAACUAUGAUGAACUCUGUCUGUCGCUCGUUUUAUCUUUAUAGACGCAGCACCAGAUCCUCCUCCGUCGGCGAGGAAGAUAGUUCGAUCCGAAAGAAGCAAGAGAAUUUUUGAAGUAGUUUUUGGAACUAUUUAUGAUA